GCAAAUGAACAAAGAUAAAGGGUCCGGCACUGGCGAACGUAUCCCUGCUCGCCAGAAAAGAUGGAAAGUAGAGUCGCCGAGGAAGGAAAAUAUUCUUUAUUUGUAACGGUUGUAAAUUUGUUUUAUUUUUUUCAUCAUGUCAGAUUUUGAAUAAGAUUUUGAAUUUUUAGGUAUUUGAAAUUUUUGGGUAUUUGUUUGGAGUUUCAAAUAUUUUUCAGAUUUUUUAGAUAUUUUGAUUUUUUUUAGGAUCCUAAAUACCCGAACAUAUGUGGACCCAUUACGUCCAUAUCAGGUCCACCAACCUUUUGAUAUAGAUUUUUAACGUUAUUGUACAAAAACAUGGUUGAUAAAAUAUUUUUUUGAGUAAAAGUAUCAUAAAGAAUAAUAUUAGGAUCUGUUAAAGAUAUUUAAAAUAUUGUAUGGUUAGAAUGAUUAAUGGUAUUAUCAAAAAAAGUUAUACGUACAUCAUUCCAACAACUUUUUUAUAUUAGAUUUUUUAAGACUUUUUCUCUUUUAAUAGUAUUGAUUCGUUUUU
rnacentral:lncRNA from 1 species